GGUGUACCAGUUGUGCCGCCAGGCGCAUCGCUGGGUAGCUAUGUAUGGAUGAGAUAAACGCUGAAAGCAUCUAAGUGUGAAACUCGCCUCAAGAUGAGAUUUCCCAUUCCUAUAUGGAAGUAAGACCCCUGAGAGAUGAUCAGGUAGAUGGGCUGGAAGUAGUAGCGCCGUGAGGCGUGGAGCGGACCAGUACUAAUCGGUCGAGGACUUAACCAAG
rnacentral:rRNA from 1 species